AAUACAGCCCGACCCGUGGGUUAACUGAAAUGACUGAUACCAACUGUUUUUUGAUAUGUAACUGUGUAGUUAUUGGACAAUACAGUGCCCUAGGGAUUUGUAUGUGUACCUAUGUGUAUUUAUAUAUCAGUCUGUCGCAUUUACUAGUAAUAUUCUGUAUUCGUUGUGAAAAGACUUUUAUUGUCGUCAUUAACGGAAUUACAUAAUAAAUGCCAAAUUAAAUGAUUCAUCAGCAGGGUGAGCUAAGAAAUGUAAAGUAACGGAUAAUAAGAUACUGUAGAAGUAUUGGUAUAAGUGGUCAGAACCACUAAUUACGAUCAUUUGGAACAAGAAAUGUAUUAGUAUAGAAAAAGCUUCAUUAUCUUGAGAAACAGCUUUUUAAGUGAUUACUAAGCAAUGUAUUCGUACUUGUUAUUCAUUUUAUAUCCUAUUUUGAAAUUAAUGUACUUUGUAAACACAUUUUGAUUAACUCUCCAAUUGUUUGCAUCACACAAUGUUCAGAUUUUUCGUAUUUCAGGGCGUAUUUGUAACUUCCUUGUAUACAGUCUGAUAGAAAGCAGAAUUUGUGAUGUCAUUAAAUGUUAGUAUCUGAAACCGAACUGUAAUUAAUUAAAUAACUCAAAAUUCACAAAAGACAUUAUUGUAAUUAGAACCAUAUCGAUUUUUAAUAUUUAAACCUAGUGAUGACACUACAAAAAUUACGUCAACUAAUAUUGUUAAUUUUUCCUUAUUCGGGUGUAAUGUCUGUUCGCAAACAUUUUGUACAUUUUAAUUGUAACUUUGAAAUUCUUCAGAAUUAAUAAUGCAAUAUUUUGUGAGUGAUUGUUAAAAUUCUAUAUAAGCAGAGAUGAUGCGAGGUCAGAGUCAGUCAGUUGUUUGUGAUGAUUUCGGCUGGAGAGUCUGUACAAGUGACGUCUGUAAAUAAAUAAUGUGAAGUGUGAAGAAUUCUCCGAUUUCUUCAUCUAAAAAUGAACCCCCAAAAGUUAAGUUUAUAAAUAUAAAGCUGCUCGACGAACAAGUAGCUUUAUAAGUGGUGGUGUGAGCUGGGAUUUGAUGAUUGAAAUCGGAACUGUUUUUAAAAAGUAAUUGUUUCAGGUGACCGCAAGACGAAUACUAAACAUAAAUUGUGAAGAAAUUUUUGUGUUUAUGGACGCACAGAACGAGUGGAUGUUGCUGCAUGAGAAGAGUUGGUGUGGAUAAGAAAUACAAAGAAAAUCAUCACCUGCAUGGGGAGAUCGUAAAUCAUAACAACUGAUCUGAUGAUAAUGGACCAAAUUCUCGGACUGCACCGCUGGAAUUCAGAUGAUGUAGAGACUGCCAGAAGCAGAGGGGCUGCAGACACAAGAUGGACAGCGCAUUGGGACGGAUGAUUGUGAGCUGCCAAUUCAUUAAGAUAUGCAACAUGCACCAGUGACU